rnacentral:rRNA from 1 species
UACGGGGGGGGCAAGCGUUGUUCGGAAUUACUGGGCGUAAAGGGCUCGUAGGCGGCCAACUAAGUCGGAUGUGAAAUCCCCAGGCUUAACCUGGGAACUGCAUCUGAUACUGGAUGGCUUGAAUCCGGGAGAGGGAUGCAGAAUUCCAGGUGUAGCGGUGAAAUGCGUAGAUAUCAGGAGGAACACCGGUGGCGAAGGCGGGACUCUGGGCCGAUACUGACGCUGAGGAGCGAAAGCGUGGGGAGCAAACAGG